CUGAAAUCAAGUGUGACGACCCGCUGAACUUAAGCAUAUCAAUAAGCGGAGGAAAAGAAAUCAAAUGAGAUUUCCGUAGUAGCUGCGAGUGAACUGGAAUCAAGCCUAUUGCCAACUCUUAUGUUUCGUACAAUAAGAGAUGAGGUGUAAAGGAGUUUCGUGUUGCACAGACGCACGGUAUAAAUAUUAUCGAGUGAGUUCUCAGAGAAGGUGAAAAGCCUGUUUGGCUGUGUCUGUCUGUUGAAUCGGAAUUCUUACGAGUCUAGUUGUUUGAGAGUACAACUUAAAGCUGGUGGUAAAUUUCAUCAAAGGCUAAAUAUAUGAGGGGACUAAUAGCGAACAAGUACCAUGAGGGAAAGUUGAAAAGAACUCUGACGAGAGAGUUCAACAGUGCGUGAAACCAUAUUGAGUAAAACAGAUAACUGUGUCGUUAUGCGGUGUGUCUAUCAACAGUAUAUCGGGUAUUGCGAAUCGGCGAGUGUGAGCUGUUUAUUCAGACGAUCGCUCGCUGCUAGCAUAGCUCGAGGUUCUGUGUACUAGUGCACAUCCAAUCAUUGAGAAACUAUACGGCUGCGGUAUCGGUGUUCAUCAGUCCCCGCCUAGCGGGAAGUUGUGUACUGGGCUCAGCUGGCUGUGUAGUUUAGCUGUGUGACAGCUGUGUGACGCGUUUGUUGAAUGUGCCUGCUUUGUCUGCGAAUCGGUUUAUUCCUUUUUGCGGUGAGUAUGGUACAGUAGGCGAGCGUCUCGCCAUCAAUGGUUGACAUUAGUUAUUUGACCC
rnacentral:rRNA from 1 species